rnacentral:lncRNA from 1 species
CAGAGACAUCUAUGUCCCCUUCCCCGGCACGUGUUUCUUCUGCAGGGGAUGUGAGGAGUUCCCUAGUGUCCUGGAGGUUAAGGGUCCAGUCUUUGAUCCCUCCUGUGGUGCAGAUUCAAGCCCUGGACUGGGAACUUCUGCAUGCCCUGGAGUGGCGAAAAGCAAUCAAUGACCAUUGUGCAUGGUCAUUAUCCAGGUUGUCUCAGCUGCCAAGAGGCAUUUUCACACAAAACCAGUGUGGGGAUGUAACGGUUUGAAGUGCACGCCAAAGAGCAAGAUCUUUCUAAAAACUUGGAUGCUGAAGGCUCUGUUGGGCAGCUGGGGAUUAUGGGCAUUGAGGGCUUGGCCUGGGAGUCAACUGUUAGUCAUUUCCCUGUGGUCUUCUGCAAUCAGUAUAUCACUCGUUCUCUCUGUUGUCAUGUAUUUUCCAGAAUCUUGCUUUGGGAGGAAAGGAUCUUGCUGCAGGAGUCUGAGGAUAUGUUUGUCCUCUGUGAGCUUGGCUAGAAUAAUCCCAUGGUGGCCACACAACAGAGUGCACCCUGCCACUGAGCCAGACGAAGAUACUGUGGAACCUGACUCAGUACAUUCAGCAACCCCCGACGAUGUUGUGGAGGCCGGUGGGAGUGAGAAGACCAAGGAGGAGGCCCUGGCGGGAAACUGA